ACAGGCUUAACACAUGCAAGUCGAGGGGCAGCAUGAACUUAGCUUGCUAAGUUUGAUGGCGACCGGCGCACGGGUGAGUAACACGUAUCCAACCUGCCGAUGACUCGGGGAUAGCCUUUCGAAAGAAAGAUUAAUACCCGAUGGCAUAGUUCUUCCGCAUGGUAGAACUAUUAAAGGAUUUCGGUCAUCGAUGGGGAUGCGUUCCAUUAGGUUGUUGGCGGGGUAACGGCCCACCAAGCCUUCGAUGGAUAGGGGUUCUGAGAGGAAGGUCCCCCACAUUGGAACUGAGACACGGUCCAAACUCCUACGGGAGGCAGCAGUGAGGAAUAUUGGUCAAUGGACGAGAGUCUGAACCAGCCAAGUAGCGUGAAGGAUGACUGCCCUAUGGGUUGUAAACUUCUUUUAUACGGGAAUAAAGUGAGGCACGUGUGCCUUUUUGUAUGUACCGUAUGAAUAAGGAUCGGCUAACUCCGUGCCAGCAGCCGCGGUAAUACGGAGGAUCCGAGCGUUAUCCGGAUUUAUUGGGUUUAAAGGGAGCGUAGGCGGACGCUUAAGUCAGUUGUGAAAGUUUGCGGCUCAACCGUAAAAUUGCAGUUGAUACUGGGUGUCUUGAGUACAGUAGAGGCAGGCGGAAUUCGUGGUGUAGCGGUGAAAUGCUUAGAUAUCACGAAGAACUCCGAUUGCGAAGGCAGCUUGCUGGACUGUAACUGACGCUGAUGCUCGAAAGUGUGGGUAUCAAACAGG
rnacentral:rRNA from 1 species